rnacentral:tRNA from 1 species
GCCAGUGUGGCUCAGUUGGUUGGAGCAUUGUCUUGUACACCAAAAAUUCAUGGGUUUGAUUCCCAGUCAUGGCA